CCCUUAGAUGUUCUGGGCCGCACGCGCGCUACACUGACGAUGGCAACGAGUUUUUCCUUCGCCGAAAGGUGUGGGUAAUCUUUUGAAACAUCGUCGUGCUGGGGAUAGAUCAUUGCAAUUUUUGAUCUUGAACGAGGAAUUCCUAGUAAGCGCGAGUCAUCAGCUCGCGUUGAUUACGUCCCUGCCCUUUGUACACACCGCCCGUCGCUCCUACCGAUUGAAUGAUCCGAUGAAUAUCAUGGAUUGAGGAUGCAAGUAGGUUCGCCUAUCUUCAUCUUCGAGAAGUGAAGUAAAUCUUAUCAUUUAGAGGAAGGAGAAGUCGUAACA
rnacentral:rRNA from 1 species